GGGCCCGCACAAGCGGCGGAGCAUGCGGAUUAAUUCGAUGCAACGCGAAGAACCUUACCAAGGCUUGACAUAUAGAGGAAAAGUGCAGAAAUGCACUCCCCGCAAGGUCUCUAUACAGGUGGUGCAUGGUUGUCGUCAGCUCGUGUCGUGAGAUGUUGGGUUAAGUCCCGCAACGAGCGCAACCCUCGUCCUAUGUUGCCAGCACGUAAUGGUGGGAACUCAUGGGAUACUGCCGGGGUCAACUCGGAGGAAGGUGGGGAUGACGUCAAAUCAUCAUGCCCCUUAUGUCUUGGGCUUCACGCAUGCUACAAUGGCCGGUACAGAGGGCUGCAAUACCGUAAGGUGGGAACGAUCCCAAAAAGCCGGUCUCAGUUCGGAUUGAGGUCUGCAACUCGACCUCAUG
rnacentral:rRNA from 1 species